rnacentral:rRNA from 1 species
UACGGGGGGAGCAAGCGUUGUUCGGAUUUACUGGGCGUAAAGGGCGCGUAGGCGGUCCUUCAAGUUAGGCGUGAAAGCCCUGGGCUUAACCUAGGAAUAGCGUUUAAUACUGGAGGGCUAGAGAUCGGUAGAGGGAAAUGGAAUUCCUAGUGUAGAGGUGAAAUUCGUAGAUAUUAGGAAGAACACCAGAGGCGAAGGCGGUUUCCUGGGCCGAUACUGACGCUGAGGCGCGAAAGCGUGGGGAGCGAACAGG